rnacentral:rRNA from 1 species
GACGAACGCUGGCGGCGUGCUUAACACAUGCAAGUCGAACGGAAAGGCCCUGCUUUUGUGGGGUGCUCGAGUGGCGAACGGGUGAGUAACACGUGAGUAACCUGCCCUUGACUUUGGGAUAACUUCAGGAAACUGGGGCUAAUACCGGAUAGGAGCUCCGGCUGCAUGGUGGGGGUUGGAAAGUUUCGGCGGUUGGGGAUGGACUCGCGGCUUAUCAGCUUGUUGGUGGGGUAGUGGCUUACCAAGGCAUUGACGGGUAGCCGGCCUGAGAGGGUGACCGGCCACAUUGGGACUGAGAUACGGCCCAGACUCCUACGGGAGGCAGCGGUGGGGAAUAUUGCACAAUGGGCGGAAGCCUGAUGCAGCAACGCCGCGUGCGGGAUGACGGCCUUCGGGUUGUGAACCGCUUUCGCCUGUGACGAAGCGUGAGUGACGGUAAUGGGUAAAGAAGCACCGGCUAACUACGUG